rnacentral:rRNA from 1 species
CACCAGACUCCUACGGGAGGCAGCAGUGGGGGAUAUUGCACAAUGGGGGGAACCCUGAUGCAGCGACGCCGCGUGGGUGAAGGAGUAUUUCGGUAUGUAAAGCCCUAUCGGCAGGGGAGAAGAAAGACGGUACCUGACUAAGAAGCCCCGGCUAACUACGUGCCAGCCGCCGCGGUAAUACGUAGGGGGCGAGCGUUAUCCGGAUUCACUGGGUGUAAAGGGAGCGUAGACGGCCAAGCAAGCCAGGGGUGAAAGCCCGGGGCCCAACCCUGGGACUGCUCUGGAAACUGUAAAGCUGGAGUGCGGGAGGGGCAGGCGGAAUUCCUGGUGUAGCGGUGAAAUGCGUAGAUAUCAGGAGGAACACCGGCGGCGAAGGCGGCCUGCUGGACCGUAACUGACGUUGAGGCUCGAAAGCGUGGGGAGCAAACAGGAUUAGAUACCCCCGUAACG